rnacentral:rRNA from 1 species
GGCUUAGAACUAACGCUGGCAGUGCGUCUUAAGCAUGCAAGUCAAACGGGAUGUAGCAAUACAUCUAGUGGCGAACGGGUGAGUAACGCGUGGAUGAUCUACCUACGAGAUGGGGAUAACUAUUAGAAAUAGUAGCUAAUACCGAAUAAAGUCAAUUAAUUUGUUAAUUGAUGAAACGAAGCCUUUAAAGCUUCGCUUGUAGAUGAGUCUGCGUCUUAUUAGCUAGUUGGUAGGGUAAAUGCCUACCAAGGCGAUGAUAAGUAACCGGCCUGAGAGGGUGAACGGUCACACUGGAACUGAGAUACGGUCCAGACUCCUACGGGAGGCAGCAGCUAAGAAUCUUCCGCAAUGGGCGAAAGCCUGACGGAGCGACACUGCGUGAAUGAAGAAGGUCGAAAGAUUGUAAAAUUCUUUUAUAAAUGAGGAAUAUGCUUUGUAGGAAAUGACGAAGUGAUGACGUUAAUUUAUGAAUAAGCCCCGGCUAAUUACGUGCCAGCAGCCGCGGUAAUACGUA